AUACUAUCUCAAAAUGCUACUGCGACCGGAAUUAAUUCUGUUUUUAUUGGUACAACAGUUUUGGGUCUUGACUGUACUGGCCAGCCUAACGGAAUCUACGAGUACUCCUGUUUCUACUAUCUGGUGUGUUUACGGGGGAUAGCCAUCAACAUACGAUGCAAUACUACUGAAGUGUUUGACCCCGACCACCAGCGAUGCGUUAAGCUCGGUACCGACUAUUGGCCGUGCACGGAUGUGAAGAACUGCGACGUAUUAGCCGACCACAGAUACCCUGACUACCAGAACGGCUGCCACACCUACUACACGUGUCACAACGGCUACUACUACGGGCACAACUUCUGCCCCGAAGGGUUAGUGUUCGACUUUGAUGCGCAGAUCUGUAACUGGCCUACCAACGUGAAACCCCCGUGUGGAACCAACAUAGACAUCGUUGGCUGACUGUGUAUCUAACAUGCCAAAUCAAUAUGACAGGAAUAAAAAGUCUCGGUCAGCUCA